ACGCGAUUCAGCUCCCAUGUAUUUCACAACUCAUCCGAUUUUUCGCAUUGCCUCGGUGCAGUGCGGCGCAAAAUGACAAAGCAGUGUAUGCCCGGUCGCAAUCGCAAUUACCUUACCCCAAAUUUACAUCCCUUACCGAACACCUGAAUUAUCAUAUCCCGUCUAUCUAGCACAUGCAGGAGAUAAUGUCGAGGAAGGAUUGAAUGAAGAAAUGGAUCUGGAAAAAGGCAAAGAGUUCCUGAAAGUCCGCAAGCGUUAUGGUUGCAAUAACCAUUCCGACUGCGAGGUGGCAAAUGGUGGACCCGGAGGCGAUUGUGUUUUUUGGACCUGUGCACCGGGAAAGUAGUUGUGUUCUCCAAUCCAUCUGCGUACAGGGUUCCAUAUAUAAUUAAACUAUUGAUAUCAUUUGUCUGUAUGAAUGAAGACAUCUUUGGAGCAAUAAAGUGUUCUGUGUGUUA